CGCCCGGUAGCUCAGUGGUUAGAGCAACUGGCUUCGCAAGCCAGAGGACCGGGGUUCGAUUUCCCGGGGCCGGGUGG